UACGAAGGGGGCUAGCGUUGCUCGGAAUCACUGGGCGUAAAGCGCACGUAGGCGGCUUUUUAAGUCAGGGGUGAAAUCCUGGAGCUCAACUCCAGAACUGCCUUUGAUACUGAGAAGCUUGAGUCCGGGAGAGGUGGAGGUAGGUAACUGCGAGUGUAGAGGUGAAAUUCGUAGAUAUUCGCAAGAACACCAGUGGCGAAGGCGGCUCACUGGCCCGAUACUGACGCUGAGGCACGAAAGCGUGGGGAGCAAACAGG
rnacentral:rRNA from 1 species